CAUCUGGAUCUCCGCACGCGCGGACGCAUCUGGCCUCCCCACGCUUCGUCAUCGAUGUGAGGCAGUGCCGCCUGCCGGCCUCGCCCUUGCUCGCCGGACGCGGGUGCGGCCCCUUCCUGCUUAAAGUUUGCGGCGAUGUCGUCCUCUUCGGUGGGUCGCGGAUGCCUCCGGCCUCCCCGUCUGUCCUCCAUGCUGCCGCCGCUUGCCGUGCAGGUAUCGAUCAUCGGCACCGGUCGCCGGCCUCCUGAAGCUGUAGCUAGACGAAAGGAGGUCAGCUUCGCCUCGAGGGAUGUCGGCACGCAGCAGCGGCAGCAACGAUGGAGGCAUGGUCCGAUGGGAGCCCCAGGUGAUGGCCACACCAGCCGCUGUCGCCGACAACGACCUGCCAAUGAUCCCGGACCUCGAUCUGGACUUCGAUGGCACGGUGGCGCGCUGCGCAAGAAGAACCUGUCGCCGUUCGUGAGGAUCGUGAGCAAGCAGAUGGUCAUCUUCUUGAUGGUUUAGGUUAGGAGAGGCCAUGCGAAGUACCUCCAAAACCUCUACCUCAACGUCUCCACCAUCGGUGUUGGCGCCAUGGACUACAUUGGCAACCAGGGAGCCGUGUCAGUGAGCAUGUCCAUCUAUUAAACUCUGCUUCAAAUGCAGCCACCUCGCUGCCGGUGAGAAGCCCAACGACGGCCACAAGUGGAACGCCGCCAUGUUCCCUGCCCCGUGUGAUUAGCAGCUGCUCAGACAUCCACGACCAUGAGUGAGUAGUGUAUACACAACUAACACCAUGGACUCCACUGCAUUGCAACUGCAUCAAAUAAACCCAUCAGGAUUAGGAAACCUUAGACUUCAUGGUGAUUCCUGCACUCGGAUCUUCUGGCUGGGUGAUCUAAACUACCACCUCGACGUGUCGUACAAGAGAGCCAACGAGCUGAUCUCGAUGAAGAGUUGGUCAAAGCUAGCCGAGAUGGAUCAAGUCAGCUGAAGUGUGGGCUGACGAAGGGUCAGGCAUUCGACGGGUAGACGGAGGGCGUCCUGGAGUUUGUACUGACCUACAAGUAUGCGCUCAGCUCGGGGAACCAUGCCUGGAGUCUUACUUAACAAAACAAUGCUUGGUUUGAGGAGCAUCGCAAGAAGAGAGUUGCUGAAGUGGAAGAGGAGUUGGAGAAUUCAGAAAAAUCUCAAGGCCGAAGGACGAGCAGAUCCUACAACGCCACUGCAGUACCCGACAUCGAAUGAACUGAGCAUCGGCAGGUUCGAGAUCAAGGCAUUCGACUGCGGCGGGGACUAGAUCACCCACCCGCGUUUAGGACUCCUGCGCCAAGGUUGCCUCUUCUUACUCCUGGUCUCCUGCUAUAAAUCCAACUCAUCCAUUAUUUAUCUGAUGAUGGAUCACAUCUGUUUUGAGGUUGCUCUUUUGCCUAGAUCUUUAUGAAGAGGCGGAGGUCGGACAGAUCCUCAAGCAAACACCAAAGUCGGACAUAUCCUCUCUUUUAUGUUAAAUAGAAAUGCUACAACGUUGCUUUCAGAGUAAGGAUGUUCUAUUUACAGGUCCGCAUACUGUCUGCCUCUGUGAAAAAGCUGUCAAAGAUCCUAAAGUGAGUAGCUGAUAAUACCACAUUGAUGAUGGAGGGAUUUGAUCCCAACAGCAAUUGCUGCAUCAAGUUUGCAUGGAGAUAAUGUGAAACAUCGAUUGAUAAGAGAGCAAGAUCAGUCCAGUAGGAGUUAUCUUAGAAAUUCAUGUACAAGUUAAUGGUUUUAUUUUUACUUUUUCCAAAUCAUUGUACGGUGACAUACUCUUCCAAGAGGUUUCUAGGAGACUAGGAUUGGGAAGGGAGCAGGGCAUGGAUUUUAAGAGCUUAGAGAAUGAAAAUAUGGGUGGAUCCCUCUAGGAUGAUUCUUCCAUUAGCUUAGUUGUGAUGCCUUAGUUACCGAGGAAAUGUUACGAGAUGAAAGGGUACAUGUUUAUUAACAUGCAUAAUUGGUGGAUUACAAUACUUUGGAAUAA